AGGACUUUGGUAGGGAUGCUUGAUGAUUACUUUAUGGACACUUCACCACAUACAUGAUAGAAUCACAUGUGGAUCAAGUUGUUUUUGAAGAUUUAAUGAGUGAACGAUAUCCUAAACUAGUUAAUCAUUUUAAUAUGUUGGGAGUUGAAAUGGGUUGGAUUUGUGGACCAUGGUUUCUUUCCAUCUUUGUAAACAUGAACCCAUUGGAAAGUGGU